rnacentral:tRNA from 1 species
UUGGUAAAAGAAAGACUUUCGCUGAGCUUGCCCCUCAGUUUUAGGUAUCUUUACUAGC